CUAAGAUGGUGCUUACCGAGGUGUGGACGUUUGUUUCGGUGACCACGACAUCCAUCACAGAGACCAUACCACAAACCACGUUGGGGUACGUGGGAUCACAGUGACGUCAACGUGUGCCAGACGUACUUAUAUGGACCAGUAUAGACUUGGAUUGACAUUACUACAUGUUAGCAAGGUAGAGAGGCAAGAUCCGAGGGCCCCUGGGCGAGGUCACGCGGAGGUGAGCCAAGCGGAGAAGGUGUGACCACAAACACAACGACGCGCUUCUCUGUCGAGGGGACCACCGAAGAGAAGGCCGGCGAGACACACGCCGUCAUUCACGGGAUUCCGUUGUGGAGGAAGCCGCCGACGACCACAUCCGAACCGCAGGUACGGACCUCAAUCGCACCUUGUUAGGCCGACGUGUUUACACACCUGGCCUCACAUCCGAGAGGUUUCCCCUGGCGUGCACGCUUGGUGUUUAUUCGCCACUUAUGUACUCAUUCAUGUACUCAUUCAUGUACUCGUCAUUUAUGUACUCAUUCAUGCUAAAUAGCAACUCUUGAGCUCCAGUCCGACUUUAACCCGACAUAAUCCUCCACUCGCGCUUCUUUGAAGAUUGGUCGCGACAAACCCCUGCUUCCCUAGUAGGCGGCCUUGGUUCUCGUAC